rnacentral:rRNA from 1 species
AUUGAACGCUGGCGGCAGGCCUAACACAUGCAAGUCGAGCGGCAGCGGAAGGAAGCUUGCUUUCUUGCCGGCGAGCGGCGGACGGGUGAGUAAGGUAUGGGGAUCUGGCCGAAGGCGGGGGAUAACCACUGGAAACGGUGGCUAAUACCGCAUAAUCUCUAAGGAGCAAAGUGGGGGACCGUUCAGGCCUCGCACCUUCGGAUGAACCCAUAUGAGAUUAGCUAGUAGGUGGGGUAAUGGCUCGCCUAGGCGACGAUCUCUAGCUGGUCUGAGAGGAUGAUCAGCCACACUGGGACUGAGACACGGCCCAGACUCCUACGGGAGGCAGCAGUGGGGAAUAUUGCACAAUGGGCGCAAGCCUGAUGCAGCCAUGCCGCGUGUAUGAAGAAGGCCUUCGGGUUGUAAAGUACUUUCAGUCGUGAGGAAGGUGUUAAGGUUAAUAACCUUAGCAAUUGACGUUAGCGACAGAAGAAGCACCGGCUAACUCCGUGCCAGCCGCCGCCGUAA